rnacentral:lncRNA from 1 species
CCAGACCGCACCAAAACUUCAUGAGACCUCUCCUUGUCUGUGCAAGGAAGAGUGGCCAACUCUGUAGCUCGGGCCGUUCCUUCCCACUCUGGCGGUGAAUCCUCCAUAGUCUGCAGUUAGAUCAACAGGCCAACACUUCCACCAUAACUGCAAAUUUGAAUGCGGAUGAAUGGAUUACAACACGUUCAAGCCUUACAAUGAGAGGCAUUAUAAGAUGAGAGGCCGACUCUGGAGUCCACGCUGUUGCUUCCCAGUCUGAUGGUGAAUCCUCCAUAGUCUGGAGAGUGUAAAUAUAUAUAUCUCUUUUCCCUUCUCCCCUUCCCAUUGCAGUUUGCUUAUUAUAUCAUUUGCUUAUUAUAUCGUUUGCUUAUUUUAAUUUGCUUAUUUUAUUAAUUUUCUUAUUAUAUCUGCAUUGCCAUUUACAUGGGAUAAAG